AAUCACACUAUUUAAAAUAUCUGAAAAAAGUAUUAUUUUUUUUAAUCUAGGCAUGUAUCUAAGCUGUAGCAUUUCUCUGCUUGGGGAGCAGGGAGAGCUUUACUGGAUGUUAAUGUUCAAGGGGCUCUGAUGAACCACGUGGGCACAAUGGAGGUGUCUGUUGAAGACACACUGUCAUACGUUAAAGGCUCUGAGAAGUGUUCUGUACUGAAAUGUGCACAGCUCUCUUCAAUCCAGCGUUUUUCAGACAUUUAACAAUAGAAUCUUUCUUGUCUGAGUGGCCUUGGGAAAGUCGGCCCUAGUGACCUCCGCGGUCUAGUUUUGCCUGUGCCACUAACUUGCGAUAGACUUUUGGCCAAAUCACCUUUCCUCCUGGAGCUUUGGUUUAAGAUAUUAAAUGGGUGUGGUGACAUUUCCACUUAAUUUUAGCCCUCCUCUCUCUGUUAACAAAUUUAUUAUUUUUUAAGCAGGUUCGUGGAAGGAGAAUUAUGAAAAUGCACCAAGGCAAAAUAAAAAAUGAUUAAAAUUAUCCCAUAUUGCCACUACGGGCCCUUUUUCAAAGGUAUGAUGAAAGCAAGCAUUUAUGGAACACUUCUGUGCAAAAGCACUGUGCUAGGGUAGGUCUGUUCUUAUCCUCAUUUCACAGAUGAGCAGACUGAGGGGCAGAGAGGUACUGUCACCUGUCUAAGGCAUGUGGCUUCCAUGGCUCUAACCCAAGUCUUCCUGACUCUGCAGCACAAGUUCUCACCCACUACCAGACAAGGUCGCCCCAUCGGAAGGGGGUCUUCAUGACCUGCCAAGAUUCCUUUUUCUUCCUGCUUCCUGAGUCCUUCAGGGUUCUCUCAUCUCCCCAGGGGAGCUGUGGACAUUAUCUCUUCCAAAAACAAAGUCUGUGCCUUCCCUAUAGAAGGACCUGUGUCCCUCCCCCAAACCCAGUCUACCUUAUCUCUGGAAAAACUAUGACUUGCCCUAGAGAAGGGGGAAAAAUAAACCCCUCCCCACCCCAGCUCCACCCCCAAAAUCACUGGAUUUGGGGUAAAUUCAGCAGGCUGGAGACGGAAGAAUGGAUGUGUAAUGAAGUUUCAAAUUGACUAUUGUUUUAUGUGAAUGUCUGAUAAAGAAAACACAAUGGCCGCCAGAUGGGGGCUGGGAGGUGAGAUUUCCCAGGUGGAGAAUUCUAGAAGACAGGCCUGGAGUUCUGGAGCCAGGGUCCUCCAGACAGGCAGGCAACAAGGGUGGGGACACCAGAGAUAAAUGUAGGCAGGGGAGAAGAGCCAGCCAGGGACACCAGCCCAAGUGGUUUGGCUAGGACUGGUCUAGUCAGCAUGGGACAUGGAGGCGGGAUGAGUUAGCAGUGAACUCGGCCACUCCUAUGGCAUCCAAAGGGCUAGAACAACACUGUUCAACGGAAAUACAAUGGAAGCCACGUAUGUCAUUUUAAAUGUUUCAAUAGCCACAUUAAAAAAUGGUACAUCUAUAAAACAGGAGAUUGUUCUCAGAAAUAAUGAGCUUUUCCUUGGUCUCAGCAAUCAGGGGUAUCAAACUCAAUUGCCCUCAGUGAUAUAUGGUACAUAAGCAUAUUUCACACUUUGCUGUAGGAAAAACAGUGCAGCAAACAAUGUUUUAUGUUCACUAGUAUAACUUCAGUGUGGGGACAUUAAGGAAUGGUGGGGACUGCAGCAAGUUAGAGAAAGCACACCCGGUUGAAAUUGUUUCAGUGGACUUUUGCCUCGAGGCUAUGGGAAAUCAGUGUUGCCAGAACUUCCCAUUUUUUGAAAGGGGCAGGAAGUUGGGAUUUCUAAAGGUUAGCAGUCAAUUCAAAUUGUAUCAAAAAAAUCCAAACUGGGUGGGCUGGAUCUCACCCUCUGAUCUCCCAUGAAACCCUCCACCAUGUUUUACAGAGAAGGAAACUGAGGUUCAGAGUGGUUAAGUAUUUUCCCAUCUCCUAACAGAGAACUAACUGUCUCUUCCGGUCAUUUCUACUACCUCUGCUAAUAACCAGCUUUGACUUUUUUCACUAUUCUUUUUGAGAAUUUACUAGGUGCUGGGUUCUGUGCUGAACAUAUGAUACCAUGAAGGAGGUACUAUUUAUGAUGCCAGAUUUAAAGUUUAUUUUGAGGGAGGUGAGGAGGGACAGAAAGAGAAAGAGAAUCCCAAGCAGGCUCCGUGCUGUCAGUGCAGAGCCUGACGCGGGGCUUGCACUCAUGAAACCGUGAGAUCGUGAGCUGAGCUGAAACCGAGAGUCAGACACUUAACUGACUGAGUCAACCAGAUGCCCCAUGAUGCCAGACUUAGACAGGGGAAACCAAGGUUCAGAAAAGUGGAAUAAAUUGCCUGAGAUCACGCUGUGGGGCUUGACCCUGCAUCUAUUUUGAUUACAAGAGUCUAGAUGCUCCCUCUGGCUAUGCCUCUCCCACCCUACAGCACAGGAAACUCAGAGAGCAAGGAGCCUGGGGAUUUUCACGCGGGGCUCCUCCAAAGGGCCUGGAGCGACAGUUCGGCCAGCUUUCUGCACCUCCACGCUUACUGUAAGUGCCUCCGUGGUAUCCUUCCUGGGAAUUGGCUUCCGGGUAAGAUUUUGUUUGAAGAGACAAUGCCACUGCCAUUUUAUUUGUUUGUUUAAAUUUGGAAACCCUGAACCUGCCCUGGUCCCUUGGUUUACAGAGGAGGAAACUGAGACCCAGAGAUGGCAAGUGCCUGAGGUCCCUCUGCAAGUCAGGGCCAGAGCAGGGACCAGAAUUGGGGCCUGGAGGCCCAGCCUGGGAAGCUGCCCGCUGGGUGUGCCAGGGCCUCCCUCCAGCUCCUCCGGGCUCUGCCCAGGGAAGGGCCAACUGUUCUCUGUCUCACCACAGACUCCGCCCUUCCUCAUGCCUGUUUGGAUAACUUUUCGACCUGUUCCUUCACAAGCUCUCCCCAAGGUGUGGCUGCCUCUGCUGCUUGUCCCAGGGAAUCCUGGGGCCUUGGCCGUGUGGCGGCUCAGGCUUGGCUGGGCCCUCAGCAGACAGUUGUCAAACAGUGGCUGUCUGAGCAGAGGGAGGCCUGUUUACCCAGGGCAGAACCCGGGCAGAGGCUGCAGCUUCCUCCCCAUCCCGCUGGCCCAUCCAGCCCCUCAGCAUACUAACUCAGCUGUCCCUGUCUGAAUUUGCUCAUUCUACAAAUAUUUAUGGAGCACCUACUGUGUGCCAAGCACUGUUCUACAUGCUGAGGAUUUAGCAAGCAACAAGACACCAGAUUCCCUGCUCUCAUGGAACUUACAUUGUAGUGGAGGAGACAGAUGAUAAACAGAUCAAUGAAUGCACAAUUCCAGAGCUGUAGGAGAUAACAGGAUUGAUAGUGAUGGGUGGAGGUGGGGCAGUCUUGGAUUUGGGUGGUUCAGGAAGGCUGCUCUAAGUGGAAAACUUUUCAGCUAAGACCCAGACUAUGAGAAAAAAUCCAUUAUGGGAAGAUCCAGGGAAAGGAUGUUCCAGGCAGAGGGAACAGCAAGUACAAAGGCCCUGGGGCAGGAAUAUGCUUGACCUUAUUGAAGGACAGUUAAAAGGCCACCGUGGCUGAACUAGAGUGAGAAAAAGGGACAAAGACAGGAGAGACCAAAAGAGGGACAGCCAAGAAUCAGACUGCAUGGGGCCUCUUAGGUUAGGGAAAAGAACUUGGGAGACAGAAAGGUGCUGAAAGGUGUUCAGCAGGGAUUUUAAACAUGAACCUUAACUCUGCUUUUCCUUCUGGGGCUUUCUGCCCCAGGGCUCUUGUUUCCACGUACACUUGAAGGUGUUUGAAAUAGUGUUUAAUUAUUCUUUUUUCCAUUUUAAUUUUUUUUUCAAAAUUUUAAUCAAAGCUGUAUAGAUGCACAGUUGAAAAAAAUAAAAUACUCUUACCAAGCUAAUAAUCAGUAAUAGUACUUGUCCACCGGCUCUUUCCUGAACCUGAUUCCCACCAUCCAGAGGCAGCUAUUUUAGGUAGUUUUCCUCUAUGUUUCUACAUAUCUUGGUUAUACUACUACUUCUCAGUUUUUCAGUCUUGUGUGUAAUGUGUUAACUUGCUAAUAGGAAAGAUCCUAUAGAACUAUUUCCCAAUUUGGAGAUAAGCUUAUAUUCAUCAUUUUAAUAACAACGUGGCUAUUAUUCACAGCUGAUGUCAUCUGUAUAUGAACCAAGAGCUUUUCCUGCACGGUCUCAGUUAAUCUUCACAAUAACCCUGUAAGAUACGUGUUGGUCAACAUAACAAUACUUGCACUUUAUAUAUGACAUUGGUUGUACCUGCAGAGCUAUCCUGAGAGGUAAGCAGAACUGGCAUAAUUAACCCAUUUUUCACAAGAACACACGCAGCUCAAAGUGAUACAGUUCUGCCCAUCACAGUGGGGGUGCAGUGGUUAACAUAAAAGUCAUCUUCCAGCCAAGAUGGAAGGAGCUGGGGUUCCUGUGUGAAGGACGUCAUACAUUUGGGUGUGUUUGUUACACCAGCCAGCAUCGCUCUUACUAACGCAAUGCCUGGAUUUGAAUCCUAGCUCUGCCUCUUUAAGUCUGUGUGGCUUGGGGUAAGUUACCUUUCUGAGCCUUUGUUACCUCUUCUGAGAAAUGGGUAUGAUGGCAGUACCUACCUACCUCAAUAGGCAGUUGUAAGAAUUAAAGGAAGUGAUUUUUACAUGUUGUUUAGAAUGGUGCCUGGUCCAUAGUAAGUCCUAUAGAAAUUAUCAAAUAAAUCAGAGGUAGAAUAUGAAUGAGCCAGGACCCAUUUCUGGGGCCAUGUGAUGCAAGUUCAGUAUCUGACCCCAAAGUCCUAGGCAUUUGUAUUUCUCUUUGCAAUCUUUACCACAUCUACCUGUUACCUGUACUUCAUUUACCUGUAAUUAUUUACUUGAUCUUUUCUUUCUUUUGAUGAGUAUCUUAAUUUUUAAAAGUGUAUUUUAUAUUAAUGCUUUAAUAUAAAUGCUAGUUAUAAUAUAAACGCUAGUUAUAAAAUUUUCUAACACACAGUAAUAUAAAUUCAACAAGAUUUUAAAAUGUUUGUCCAUGUACUACCUAAAAUCAGCCCCUGUGCCCUGUGGAUACACCUAAGGAAAAGUACACUGUUUUUAAGUCUAUAAAGAACCUUUGGGAACAUUCUGUCCAGUGGCAUUUAAACCAUUUUGACCAUGACCCUCUAUCCAGGGUGGUAGUCAAAACAAGGACUCUGAAGCCUGACUACCUGGGUUGGAAACUCAGCAUCGCCUCUUAAUGCCUGUGUCACUUUCACUGAGUGACUGGACCUCUCUGUGCCUCCAUUUCCUCAUCUGUAAAAUGGGAAUGACAUUAAUAGCAUCUACUUCACAGGGUCAUUGUGAAGAGCAGGAGUUAAUAUGUGUAAAGCCCUAGGAAGUGCUUUAUAAAAGUUUGUUAUUAUCACAACCUUACACACACAUCCAUAAACAUAUAUAAAUGAAACAAAGUGUUCACACAUGGAAAAUUUACUCUUGCUACAGGAGAUAUAGUAGGAUGUUUUCUAUUAUAUUUUACUUCAUUUUUUAAAAUGUGGCCAUCUUUGUGAAAUUUCACUAAUCUGUUUGUGAUUAAUAAUUCAUGUUCUUUUCUGUAGGAAACGCUAUACUUCAAGGAAAAUUUUUGUUUGUUUAUGUAAUCUCUACACCCAACAUGGGGCUCAAAUUCACAACCUUGAGAUCAAGAGUCGCAUACACCCCUGAGUGAGCUAGCUGGGUGCCCCUAAAAAUACUUUUUAAAAUAGUACAUUUUUAUUAAAAGAAAAGGCAAGAAAUGAAAGUGAAAGAAUGAGCUCAUUAUGUGAACAGCAAAUGUGCUGAAACUAUUUUGUCCAGCAUAGUGAGGGGACAUUAACAGACUUGGGAUCCCUAAUAGCUUGGACACGCUGAUCUAUAAUUUCUAAUGAAGGCUGUUGAAUUAAACUCUAGGAAUAAUGUAUCUGCUUAAAAUAAAAAAAUAUCUGCUUCAAAGUCUUUAAAAAAAUUACAUAUUAAAGCAAGAGUCAGUAAACUAAAACCUCUUGGUCAAAUCUGGCCCACUGCCUAUUUUUGUAAAUAAAGUUUUAUUGGAACACAGCCACAUUCAUUCAUUUACAUGUUGCCUAUGGCUACUUACAUGCAGCCAGGGUCCUAUAACAGCAGAGCUGAGUACUUGCCACAGUUCCUGACCUGUGAAGCCCCAAACAUUUCCCAUCUGGCCUUUUACAGAAAAAGUUGGCCGAUUCCUGUAUUAAAGUUCCAAUUCAAAGCCCUGAAGCUUAAAUUAAAUCUUAUUCUAUUUCUAUCUUGUUCUAUUCUGUUCAUAACUCUGGCAAACUUUAACAGUUAUAUUUCCCCCAACAUUGUACUUUGAAAAAUGUCAAACCCACUAAAGAUUGAAAGAAUAGUACAGUGAACACGGACAUACCCUUCACUAAGAUUCACCAAUUGGUAGGUAGCAUUCUGUCACAUUUGCUUCAUCACUAUCUGUGUAUCCACGUAUUUUUUAUUGAAAUAUUUGAUGUUAAAAAUUGUAUAUUCACAUUUGCGAUA